UUGGAGGGCAAGUCUGGUGCCAGCAGCCGCGGUAAUUCCAGCUCCAAUAGCGUAUAUUGAAGUUGUUGCAGUUAAAAAGCUCGUAGUUGAAUUUCGGGAUUGGCACAUCGGUCGUGCCUUAAGGGGCAUGAACUGGUGUAGCCAAUUUCUCACCUUCUGGAGAACCGCGAUGUCCUUAAUUGGGUGCCGCGAGGAACCAGGACCUUUACUUUGAAAAAAUUAGAGUGUUUAAAGCAGGCAUUUUGCUUGAAUACAUUAGCGUGGAAUAAUAAAAUAGGACGGAUGAUUCUAUUUUGUUGGUUUCUAGGACCACCGUAAUGAUUAAUAGGGAUAGUUGGGGGCAUUAGUAUUCAAUUGUCAGAGGUGAAAUUCUUGGAUUUAUUGAAGACUAACUACUGCGAAAGCAUUUGCCAAGGAUGUUUUCAUUAAUCAAGAACGAAAGUUAGGGGAUCGAAGACGAUCAGAUACCGUCGUAGUCUUAACCAUAAACUAUGCCGACUAGGAAUCAGACGAUGUUAAUUUUUUAAUGACUCGUUUGGCACCUUACGGGAAACCAAAGUGUUUGGGUUC
rnacentral:rRNA from 1 species